rnacentral:rRNA from 1 species
AGGGCACCACAAGGCGUGGAGCCUGCGGCUUAAUUUGACUCAACACGGGGAAACUCACCAGGUCCAGACAAAAUAAGGAUUGACAGAUUGAGAGCUCUUUCUUGAUUUUUUGGAUGGUGGUGCAUGGCCGUUCUUAGUUGGUGGAGUGAUUUGUCUGCUUAAUUGCGAUAACGAACGAGACCUCGGCCCUUAAAUAGCCCGGCCCGCGUUUGCGGGCCGCUGGCUUCUUAGGGGGACUAUCGGCUCAAGCCGAUGGAAGUGCGCGGCA